rnacentral:rRNA from 1 species
UACGGAGGGUGCGAGCGUUAAUCGGAAUUACUGGGCGUAAAGCGUGCGUAGGCGGUUUGUUAAGUCAGAUGUGAAAGCCCCGGGCUUAACCUGGGAACGGCAUUUGAAACUGAUAGACUAGAGUUGGGUAGAGGGGAGUGGAAUUUCAGGUGUAGCGGUGAAAUGCGUAGAUAUCUGAAGGAACACCAGUGGCGAAGGCGGCUCCCUGGACCCAAACUGACGCUGAGGCACGAAAGCGUGGGUAGCAAACAGG